rnacentral:rRNA from 1 species
GCCAGAGGGUGCAAACGUUGUUCGGAAUUACUGGGCGUAAAGCGCGUGUAGGCUGCUUCGUAAGUCAGGUGUGAAAGCCCUGGGCUCAACCCAGGAAGUGCACUUGAAACUUCGAGGCUUGAGUCCCGGAGAGGAUCGCGGAAUUCCCGGUGUAGCGGUGAAAUGCGCAGAUAUCAGGAAGAACACCCGUGGCUAAGGCGGCUCUCUAGUACGGUACUGACGCUGAGACGCGAAAGCGUGGGGAGCGAACAGG